rnacentral:rRNA from 1 species
GCCUGCCUGUGACUUAAGUUUAACGGCCGCGGUAUUCUAACCGUGCAAAGGUAGCGCAAUCACUUGUCUUUUAAAUGAAGACCUGUAUGAAUGGCACGACGAGGGCUAAACUGUCUCCUUCUCCCAGUCAAUGAAAUUGAUCUCCCCGUGCAGAAGCGGGGAUUAGCACAUAAGACGAGAAGACCCUAUGGAGCUUAAAACGAAAGAGUAGCCCAUGUCAAGACCCUUCAACCAAGAAGACAAACUAAAUGUCCCUCUACCCCAGUGUUUUCGGUUGGGGCGACCAUGGAGUAUAACAAAACCCCCAUGCGGAAAAAAUGAACAACAUUUUAAAUUAAGAACGACAGUUCUAAACAACAGAAAUUCUGACCCUAAAGAUCCGGCCAAGCCGAUCAACGGACUAAGUUACCCUAGGGAUAACAGCGCAAUCCCCUUCUAGAGCCCACAUCGACAAGGGGGUUUACGACCUCGAUGUUGGAUCAGGAUGUCCUAAUGGUGCAGACGCUAUUAAGGGUUCGUUUGUUCAACGAUUAAAAUCCUACGUGAUCUGA